rnacentral:rRNA from 1 species
GACGAACGCUGGCGGCGUGCUUAACACAUGCAAGUCGAACGGAAAGGCCCUGCUUGCAGGGUACUCGAGUGGCGAACGGGUGAGUAACACGUGGGUGAUCUGCCCUGCACUUCGGGAUAAGCCUGGGAAACUGGGUCUAAUACCGGAUAGGAGCCAUUUUUAGUGGGAGGGUUGGAAAGUUUUUUCGGUGUAGGAUGAGCUCGCGGCCUAUCAGCUUGUUGGUGGGGUAAUGGCCUACCAAGGCGGCGACGGGUAGCCGGCCUGAGAGGGUGGACGGCCACAUUGGGACUGAGAUACGGCCCAGACUCCUACGGGAGGCAGCAGUGGGGAAUAUUGCACAAUGGGCGCAAGCCUGAUGCAGCGACGCCGCGUGGGGGAUGACGGCCUUCGGGUUGUAAACUCCUUUCGCUAGGGACGAAGCUUUUGUGACGGUACCUAGAUAAGAAGCACCGGCUAACUACGUG